GGCAGUGAUAAAUCAAAAUGACCAAGAUUACCAUUUACAUUCUAGUACUAAUCGCUGUUGGCUCGCUCCUACCAUCGAUGACCGGUGCUCAACUACCAUGGGCUAAGGACCUUAUUCCAGGACUAGGAAGUGGUGCUGGUGGUGGUGGUGGUGAUGAUGAUGGCGGUAGUACAACCCAAUCACCAUUGAUUGCCAUUAUUUCUUCGUUGGCAAAAAAUAACCACACUGCAGUGAUGGACCAAAUACAGAAAAAGCUGCAAGAUGCUUUGAAGUCAAUUGUUCCACAAUGAUCCCGUUUGAUCGAAGAAAACAGUAAACUGGCCGAAAAUGGUUGAGAAUUUAAAUUAAUGAUAAUUUCCUGACUAAGCAAAGGCUGAGUUACAUAAUCUGUCAUCUGAAUGUACGUAAAUUUGUUUACUAAUUUUUUUUUAAUUUCAGUUUCUCAGCAAGUGAGAAACCAGUUUGCUUUUUGGCAAUAAUAACAUUUAAUAUUAGCAACAAUAAAAACCGUUACCUGAUAGGGUUUUGCUAAAUGAUUCAAAGAACUGCAAUUGUGUGCUUACAAUUGUUCGCACUGUCAACGAUCUUAAAAAUUAAACUUGUUAUUUUGAUGCUA